GCUCAGUUAGUGUCCUACUCUUGAUUUUAACUCAGGUUUUGAUCUUGGGGUCGUGGGUUCAAGCCCCACAUUGGGCC
rnacentral:tRNA from 1 species